AACGAACGCUGGCGGCAGGCCUAACACAUGCAAGUCGAGCGAACCGCAAGGUUAGCGGCGGACGGGUUAGUAACGCGUGGGAACGUGCCCAAAGGUACGGAAUAGCCUCGGGAAACUGAGAGUAAUACCGUAUGUGCCCGAAAGGGGAAAGAUUUAUCGCCUUUGGAUCGGCCCGCGUUGGAUUAGGUAGUUGGUGGGGUAAUGGCCUACCAAGCCGACGAUCCAUAGCUGGUUUGAGAGGAUGAUCAGCAACACUGGGACUGAGACACGGCCCAGACUCCUACGGGAGGCAGCAGUGGGGAAUCUUAGACAAUGGGGGAAACCCUGAUCUAGCCAUGCCGCGUGAGCGAUGAGGCCUUAGGGUUGUAAAGCUCUUUCACCGGGGAAGAUAAUGACGGUACCCGGAGAAGAAGCCCCGGCUAACUCCGUGCCAGCCGCCGCGGUAAUAC
rnacentral:rRNA from 1 species